rnacentral:rRNA from 1 species
CCCUUAGAUGUCCUGGGCCGCACGCGCGCUACACUGAUGCAUUCAACGAGUCUACCUUGGCCGAGAGGCCUGGGCAACCUUUUAAACGUGCAUCGUGAUAGGGAUAGAUUAUUGCAAUUAUUAAUCUUGAACGAGGAAUUCCUAGUAAACGCAAAUCAUCAAUUUGCAUUGAUUACGUCCCUGCACUUUGUACACACCGCCCGUCGCUACUACUGAUUGGAUGUUUAAGCGAGGUUCUCGAACUGCUAGCGACUUAGCUUCGGUGAGGUCGCAGUGUGGGAAGUGAACCUAGCUUUGGUGUCUAGAGGAAGUAAAAGUCGUAACA